rnacentral:tRNA from 1 species
GGUGUUUGUAGUGUAAUGGCUAACAUACCGAACUGUGAAUUCGGAGACUAGGGUUCGAAUCCCCACUAACACCC